AGUGAACGCUGGCGGCAGGCCUAACACAUGCAAGUCGAACGGCAGCACAGGAGAGCUUGCUCUCUGGGUGGCGAGGGGCGGACGGGUGAGGAAUCCAUCGGAAUCUACCUUUUCGUGGGGGAUCACGUAGGGAAACUUACGCUAACCCCGCCUCUGCGCUUAGGGUGACAGCGGAGCACUUUCGGGCUUCGCGAGGAUAGAUGAGCCGAUGGCGGAUGAGCUAGUUGGCGGGGUAAAGGCCCACCAAGGCGACGAUCCGUAGCUGGUCUGAGAGGAUGAUCAGCCACACUGGAACUGAGACACGGUCCAGACUCCUACGGGAGGCAGCAGUGGGGAAUAUUGGACAAUGGGCGCAAGCCUGAUCCAGCCAUGCCGCGUGGGUGAAGAAGGCCUUCGGGUUGUAAAGCCCUUUUGUUGGGAAAGAAAAGCAGUCGGUUAAUACCCGAUUGUUCUGACGGUACCCAAAGAAUAAGCACCGGCUAACUUCGUGCCAGCCGCCGCCGUAA
rnacentral:rRNA from 1 species